UACGUAGGGUGCGAGCGUUGUCCGGAAUUAUUGGGCGUAAAGCGCUCGUAGGCGGUUUGUUGCGUCUAUCGUGAAAACCUGCAGCUUAACUGUGGGCUUGCGGUGGAUACGGGCAGACUUGAGUUCGGUAGGGGAGACUGGAAUUCCUGGUGUAGCGGUGAAAUGCGCAGGUAUCAGGAGGAACACCGGUGGCGAAGGCGGGUCUCUGGGCCGAUACUGACGCUGAGGAGCGAAAGCGUGGGGAGCGAACAGG
rnacentral:rRNA from 1 species